GGCCGAGUGGCGGAAUUGGCAGACGCUAAGGAUUUAAAAUCCUUUGGGAGUAAUUCCCGUGCGGGUUCGAGUCCCGCCUCGGCCA
rnacentral:tRNA from 1 species